UUCCCCGCAAGGGGAAGGACAGCGGCGAAAGGGAGAGAACAGCGUAGUUACCUACCCUCAGGACUGGGAUAGCUCGGAGAAAUCCGAGGUAAUACCAGAUAAUAUCUUCGGAUCAAAGGUGUGAUUCCGCCCGAGGAGGGGACUGCGUCCUAUUAGCUAGUUGGCGAGGUAACGGCUCACCAAGGCAAUGAUGGGUACGGGGUGUGAGAGCAUGCCCCCGCUCACUGGGACUGAGACACUGCCCAGACACCUACGGGUGGCUGCAGUCGAGGAUCUUCGGCAAUGGGCGCAAGCCUGACCGAGCGACGCCGCGUGCGGGAUGAAGGCCUUCGGGUUGUAAACCGCCGUCGGAGUGGAGGAAAUUCCAUAGGGUAAUCUCUAUGGAUUGACUAAUACUCAGAGGAAGGACGGGCUAAGUUCGUGCCAGCAGCCGCGGUAAGACGAACCGUCCAAACGUUAUUCGGAAUCACUGGGCUUAAAGGGUGCGUAGGCGGCCCGGAAAGUUGUGUGUGAAAGCCCUCGGCUCAACCGAGGAAUAGCGCGCAAAACUACCGGGCUUGAGGGAGACAGAGGUAAGCGGAACUUAGGGUGGAGCGGUGAAAUGCGUUGAUAUCCUAAGGAACACCAGGAGCGAAAGCGGCUUACUGGGUCUCUUCUGACGCUGAGGCACGAAAGCUAGGGGAGCGAACGGGAUUAGAUACCCCGGUAGUCCUAGCCGUAAACGAUGAGCACUGGAUUGGAGGCCCCCCCAUAGGCUUCUAGUCGUAGCGAAAGUGUUAAGUGCUCCGCCUGGGGAGUAUGGUCGCAAGGCUG
rnacentral:rRNA from 1 species